rnacentral:lncRNA from 1 species
AUUAGAGUCAGUGAUGUCAUAUAUCCUGACUAGGACACUAUUCAUCAGGACAGUGAGGACAGCUAGGUGGGACAUCUCUGGGUAUAAGUUGUCUGACCCGUGUAAUUAUGGGAUGGAGCUUAGAGGCCUCAGAAGGACAAGUAGAAAACCUGAGAGUCGCCUAGCUGGCUUCGCCCAUGUUCAGAGAUCCCAUGCUUGCUUCCUUUUUUGCCAGGCAGCCUCCAGGAGUGACCACAAGAUUCUCAUAUGUUGUCAUUAACUGUGAUAUGUCAACUUGAGUAAGAACUGCGUAGCAGAUUUGUAAAGGUUUGUGUGUGUUUGUGGAUGACUGACAUGUAGACCAUCAAACUAAGGCGGAGAGACUCAUCCUGGAAAGAAGAGAAAGUCUGCCCUUUUUUCUUCAGAGGAGUUCCGGUCACCAUUGCCUUUGAACGUUGAUCUCUAGUUCCCUCAGGCUUCCAGAGCAGACUCUCCAGCCUUCCUACACAGACCCUCAGAUUUCUGACUUAGAAUCUUCCUGGACUCAGUAAUGACCUUCAGGCCUUUGACCUUCAACUGAGUCCCUGGCCUUUCAGCAGGCACAUGGCCAUUUUGUCAUUCUUACACUUCUGAUUUGCCAGAUGGCCACUGGGAAUCUUUGACUUCUUUUUUUCUUUUUGAGUGUUAAUUAACUUUAUUCACUUUUUUCCAAACAUAUACAAUAUUAAAUAUAAGCUAAAAACAAUACAUAGUUCUUAGAAAAUACUACCCAAUGCCCCCAUUGUCUGAGGUUUGUGAUUAUAAUGUGCUCAGCCUUUGUUCUUCCAGAAUGUUAGUGAACAUGUUGCUCAAAACAAGCACAGAGUAACAGGAAACCUCCCCUAAAUAAAUUUUGUUAUUAUAAAACAAAUCCAAAGAGAGGCCUCUAAUGUCUUCAUUNNNNNNNNNNNNNNNNNNNNNNNNNNNNNNNNNNNNNNNNNNNNNNNNNNNNNNNNNNCUGUCCUAUCUAACACUAGCAAGGAAAGGCAAAUUUGGGCUGAAACUCUAAACACAGCCCCAUGUAAGGGCUUGUUAUCAAGCACACUUGCCCUGAAUAAUUCCCAUUCAUUUUGUUGUACAAAGACCCACUUCAAGAGCAAGUAUUUUUAAACAACCAAGUCACAAUUUCAGGAUCACCUUUUUUUAAUAGGAACUGAUCAUAGACCUUACAGGAAGGACCUUCUAUGGGUCAGGCAUUGGCAGAAUGAAACAGCACCAGCUUCACCCAGUUAAACAUACAACACAUGAACUACUCAUCCCCAAAGCAGUCAACUCACCCAGAAGUUUGGCUUCACUUCCAAAAAGUGCUUUGCUUCUCACCCUCUUUGCCAGUAACACUUUAGGAUAUUGUAAGCACCAAGAACUCUAACAUUCCAUUUACAAAGUUUAUGCCCACUACAGCAGUCAGUUUAAAGGGAUAGGGAAAGGGAAAAUUAUACAGGAUUCUUUAUUUGAAGUUAAGGCUACCAAUAUCCCAACAACCACUUUGCUUGCUCUCUUCUUGCAACUUUAGUUCAGGUCCCACAACCUAAGCAUACAGUCCUUUUGAGUUGCCAGCAACUGACGAUGAAACACAAAGAUACUAAAUAUGAAAUGAACAUGUGCACUGUGUGCAAGUCAGAUAACCUACAACCAAUUAUACCUUCAGCUCACUUUAAAAAAGAAUAAAAGCUGGACAUGGUGGUACAGGCCUGUAAUCCCAGCUACUAUAGCGCCUCAGGCAGGAGGCUCCUGAGUUCAAUGCUAGCUCCAACUUAGUAAGACCCUAUCUCAAAUAAAAAAUAUGAAAGGCUGACGAUAUAUCUUAGUUGUAGACUGCUUGACUAGCAUAUCCAAGGCCCUUGGUUCAAUCCCAGGCACCAUCACAAAAAAAAAAAAAAAAGAAGGCAUGAAAGUACUCAGGAAUUUUAUGGGGUAAGUGAGCAAACCACCAGGAGACCAGGAGUGACAUUUUCAGACACCUUCUGAACAAGAAUAGUUAGAAGAAUAGAUUCAUAUUUUCUUCUUAAUCCCUCAGGUCCUAUAGAGUGCUAGACAUUAUUACUUUAAUAUUCUAUUACUAAUUUUCAGGUAAAAGUAACAUCAAAACACCAAAAAUAUGUUUAGGACAAACUGUUGUAAUUAAAAACUUAA